ACCAACACACAUACCUACUGACCUAUACUUUGAAUAUGUCCCGCUCACCUGGCAUGGUUUUCCUGGUCGUAUUUUCCCAUUUGUGUAACAUUUUCCAUCGAUCACACAAAAACCAGGAUUGAUCCGACAUCCAUUACCAUUACAGCUUUCGCAUGAUCUGCACGUGAAUGGAGUGCCUGUGCAUGCGCCGUUCACGCAUCGAUCAUUUCUCGUACACAAAUUGCCAUCACUGCAAGAUAGCGC